UACGUAGGGUGCAAGCGUUUAAUCGGAAUUACUGGGCGUAAAGCGUGCGCAGGCGGUUAUGUAAGACAGUUGUGAAAUCCCCCGGGCUCAACCUGGGAAUUGCAUCUGUGACUGCAUAGCUAGAGUACGGUAGAGGGGGGAUGGAAUUCCGCGUGUAGCAGUGAAAUGCGUAGAUAUGCGGAGGAACACCGAUGGCGAAGGCAAUCCCCCUGGACCUGUAACUGACGCUCAUUGCA
rnacentral:rRNA from 1 species